CAAAUAUAGCUAAACUUGUAAAAUGAGCGAAAUGUACCAAAAUCUACAAAUAUGAAAUGAAAUUGCACCAAAAUGUUAUGAAAUUCCCCAAAAUGCGUCAAGAUAGGCUGAACAUAGCCAAACCCUCUGAAAUGUAUAAAAAUGAGCAACAAUGGCCCCCAAAUGUACCAAAAUGCGCGAUAUUGACAGCGAAUAAAGGCCCAAAGUGUUCCAAAACACAGGAAUCUAAUCAUAGCGCUUUGAGAAGUUUCCAAAUCUGUGAAUACUUGAAUCGUACCUGAACAUAACGAAAGAUGAGAGCUGUAUCGAAAAUGUCAAAUACACACCAUAUUACAUGAAAAUACACAACGAACACAUCAAAAUACAUUGAAAUUCGAAAAGCUCAAAAAAGGGUAAAAAGUACGAAAAAUCCGUUAAGGGGAUCCCAAACAUACCGAAACGUGCGAAAUUAAAAAAAUAGGUAUAGAGACGUGCUUAAACUCUUUGAAAAUUAUCAAAAUGCACGAGUUUUAUCAAAAUAUGAAUACCAAAGCAUUUCAAAUUUCCCAAAAUACGCGUAUAUACCUAACCUUGCAAAAUGAUUGAAAUUCUCAGAAGUCCAAAAAUAUGACACCAAAUUGCACAGAUAUGUUAGAAUACUCACCAAAAUGUGUCAAUAUAGGCUAAGCAUAUCCAAAUACUAAGAAAUGUAUAAAAUUGAGUCAGAAUGCCCCAAAAUGUUCAAAAUGCGCAAUAUUGACAACAAAAAAUGGCCCAAAGUGUUCCAAAGUACGCGAAUUGAAUCAUAGCAUUCCAAGAUAUUUCCAAAUGUGUAAAUACUCGAAUUGUACCUGAACAUAAUGAAUUACGACAACUGUGAAAAAAAAUUCAACCACGUACCAAAAUGCGUUAAGUACCAAAGACACCGAAAAUGGGCAAAUUGAAAAACAGGUUUUGAGAAGUGCUUAAAAUGAGGAAAAUUGUCAAAAUUCAAGAGUUUUACAAAAAUGCAAAAAAAUAAAAAGUAACAAAGUGUUUCAUAAUUUCCCAGAAUAUGCAAACAUACCUGAACUUGCAAAAUGAGCGGAAUACCCCAAAAUCCACAAAUUUGAAACAAAAUUACACCAAAAUGUUACGAAACCAACCAAAAUUGUCAUGAUAGGCUAAACAUAGCCAAACUCUCUGAAAUGUGUAUAAAUGAGCCAGAGUCCCUUGAAAUGCUCCAAAAUUUGUAAUUGACACCCAAUGACGGUCCAAAGUGUUCCAAAACACGUGAAUCAAAUCGUAGUGCUCUAAGAAGUUUCCAAUCAUUUAAAUACUUGAAUUAUACUAAGACGUAAAGAAAAUAUGCAAAGAACACAUCGAAAUACAUUUAAAAUCGCAAUGCUCAAAAAAGGGCAAAAGUGUGAAAAAGAGUUAAGGCGAUCCCAAGCACACCAAAAAUGUUCGAAUUGAAAAAUAUGUAUCGAAUGGUGUUUAAACGCUCUGAAAAGUAUCAAAUUGCACGAGUUUUAUGAAAAUGUGAAAAUUUUUACAAAAGCAUCUCACAAUGUCCCAAAAUAUGCAAAUAUACUUAAACUGCAAAAUGAGCAAAAUGCACCGAAGUUUACAAAUAGGAAACGAAAUUGCACCAAAAUGUUACGAAACUUGCCAAAAUGUGUUGAGAGAGGCGAAACAUGGUGAAACCCUUCGAAAUUUAUAAAAUUGAGUUAGAAAGCCCCUGAAAUGUUCCAAAAUGCACAAUAUUAAUGCUGGAGAUACCCCAAAGUUUUCCAAAACAUGUGAAUCGAAUUGUAGUGCUUCGGAAUAUUUCCAAAUGUGUGAAUACUUGAAUCGUAUCUAAACAUUAUGCAAUAUGAGAUUUCUAUCAAAACAAUCAAACAGGUUGGUAGGCAACAUGAAAAUAUACGAAAAAUACAUCAAAAUAAAUUGAAGUUCAUAAAGCUUAAAAAAAUGUAAAAACCACGAAAAUGCAUUAAUGAUAUCCCAUACAUACCGAAAUGUGCAAAAUGAAUACAUAAGUGUCGAGACAAAGGCUUAAAUGCUCUAAAAAUUAUCAAAGUGCACGAGUUACACCAAAAUAUUAAAAAAUUUAUCAAAGCGGGUCGAAUAUCCUAGAAUACGGCACAUAUACCAAAACUUGAAAAUGAGCAAAAUAUACCAAAAUCCACAAAUAUGAAUUCAAAUUGCUCGAAAAUGAAACUCGCGAAAAUGUAUGACGAUAGGCUAAUCGUAGCUAAACCCUCUGAAAUGUAUGGAGUUGAGCUAGAAUGCCACCAACAUAUUCCAAAAUGUGCAAUAUUGACACCAAAGGAUGGUCCAAUGUGUUCCAAACACGCAAAUCGAAUCGUAGUGCUCCAAGAUAUUUCCAAAUGGGUAAAUCCUUGAAUCAUACCUGAACAUUAGAAUUAUGAGAAUUGUAUGAAAACAAUGAAACACGUACCAUAUAACACAAAAAACACAAAGAACACAUUGAAAUACACUAAAAUUCGCGAUAUUCAAUCAAAGGAAGCACAAAAUGGGUUAAGGGGAUCCCAGAUACUCCGAAAUGUGCAAAUUGAAAAAUUGUUAUCGAGACCUACUUAAACACUCCGAAAAGUAUCAAAAUACACCAAUUUUACCAAAAUGAGAAAAAAUUUAUCAAAGCAUUUCACAAUGUCCCAGAAUAAUAGAAUAUGCAAUUGCACCUAAACUUGCAAAACGAGGGAAAUUCACAAAAAUCUACAAACAUCAAACCAAAUUGAACCAAAAUGUUACGAAACUUGCCGAAAUGUGUCGAGAUGGGCGAAAUAUUUCUCAAUGUGUUAAGACUGGAAUCGUAUCUGAACGUUAUGAAAUACAAGAUUUUGUAUCAAAACAAUCGAGCAAGUACCGUAUUACAGGAAAAUACACAAAGAACACAUUAAAGUACAUUGAAAUUCUCAAACCUCAAAAAAAUGGAAAAGUUACGAAAAUACAUCAAAGAGAUGCCAAACACCCAAAUAUGAAUCCAAAUUGCCCCCAAAACAAAACUCGUAAAAAAGUAUCAAGAUAGGCUAAUCAUAGUUAGACCCACCGAAAUGUGUAAAAUUGAGCCAAAAUUCCUCGAAAAUGUUCCAAAAUACGCAAUAAUGACACCGAAGGAUAGCCUAAAGUGAUCCAAAUUGAAUCGUAGCACUUCAAGAUACUUUCAAAAGUGUGAAUACUCAAAUCGUACGUGAACAUAACAAAUUAUGAGAAUCGUAUCAGAAUUAUCAACCACGUACCACAUUACACGAAAAUACACUAAGAACACAUCAAAAUACAUUGAAAUUCAUAGAGCUCAAGAGGGCAAAAAGUGCAAAAACGAAUUAAGGGGGAUCCCAAACACAUCGAAAUGUGUAAAAUUGACAAAUAGGCAUUGACAUGUGCAUAAAUGCUUUAAAACGUAUCAAAAUGCAUGAGUUUACCAAAAUGUGAAGAAAUUUAUCGAAACGUUUCAUAAUGCCCCAUAAUACGCAAAUAUACCUAAACUUGUAAAAUCAGGAAAAUGCACCAAAAUCCACAAAUAUAAGACCAAAUUGCACUGAAAUGUUAUGGAUAAUCGCCAAAACGUGUCAGUAUAGGUAAAACAUGGCCAAACACAAUGUAGAAAAUUGAGCCAGAAUGUAGCCAGAAUAUUCCAAAAUAUGCAAUAUGUCACCAAAAAAUGGGCCAAAGUGUUCUAAAACACGCGAAUCGAAUCAUAGCACUACGAGAUAUUUCCAAAUGUGUAAAUGCUCAAAUCAUACCAGAAUAUAAUGAAUUACAAGAAUUGUAUCAAGACAAUGAAACACGGGCCAUAUUACAUGAAAAUGCACAAAAAACAAGUCGAAAUACAUUGAAAUUGCGAAGCUCAAAAAGGUCAAAAAGGUGCUAUGCGUUAAGAGGAUCCCAAACACACCGAAAUGUGCGAAAAGUUCUGAAAUGCUCUAAAAAGUAUCAAAAUGCAUGAGUUCACUAAAAAUGAGAAAAAUAUUAUCAAAGCAUUUCACUAUGUCACAGAAUACGCAAUUAUACCUAAACUUACAAAAUGACCGAACUGCACCAAACUCCACAUACAUCAAACGAAUUGUACCAACCCUCUGAAAUAUAUAAAAUUGAGCCCAAAAUGCCCCGGAAUGUUAAAAAAUGCUAAAUAUUGACGCUAAAGGAUGGCCCAAAGUGUUCCGAAGCAUGUGAAUCGAAUUUUAUCUCUCUGAAAUAUUUUCAAAUGUGUGAAUACUGGAUCAUAUCUGAAUCUAAAUACAAGAUUUGUAUCAAAACAAUCUAAAGACUAUAGCUCUCCUAGAUAUUACCGAAAUGUACGAAAUGGAUAAAUAUGUAUCGAGACCUGCAUAUAUGCUCUAAAGAUAAUCAAAGUGCCAUGAGUUAUAUCGAAAUGUUCAAAAAUUUAACAAAGCGACUCAAAUAUCCCAGAAUAUGCCACAUCUACCUAAACUUGCAAAAUGAGUGAUAUAUGCCAAAACCCACAAAUAUGAAACAAAGUUGCACCACAACAAAACUCGCAAAAAUGUAUUAAGAUAGGCUAAUCAUAGCUAAAACCGCCUAAAUGUAUAAAGUUGAGUUAGGAUGCCCCAAAUUGAAUCGUAGAUCUCCGAGAUAUUUCCAGAUGUGUAUUUCCAAAUAUGAAACCGAAUUCCAAAAAAACGUGAUGAGACUCACCAAAAUGUAUCAAGAUAGGUAAAACACAGCUAAAUCCAUCGAAAUAUAUAAAAUUGAGCAUAAAUGCCAUUAAAAUGAUCCAAAAUAUGCUAUGUUGAUAUUGAAGAAUGGCCCAAAGUGUCCCAAAAUACGACAAACGAAUCUUAGUGUUCCAAGCUAUUUCCAAAUGUUUUAAUUGCCGAAUCGUACCUGAAUUUUGCAAAUCUCAAAAGAAGGCCAAAAAGCAAGAUAUUGCAUUAAGGGGGAUCUCAAAUACACCAAAAUGUGCAAAAUUGACAAAUAGGCAUGUCAAAAAAAUUCACUAGUUUUAUCAAAAUGCAAAAUGAAUCAAAGCAUGUCAAAAUAUCCCAAAAUAGGAGAAAUAUACCUGAACUUGCAAAAUGAGCAAAAAUCCACAAGCAUAAAAGCAAAUUGCACAAAAAUAUGGCGAAACUCGCCAAAAUGAAUCAAGUUAGGGUGAACAUAUCUAAGCACUACAAAAUGAGUAAAAUUAAGCAUAAAUGCUCCCUAAACGUCCCAAAAAUGGGAUAUAUUGACACCAAAAUGUGGCCUAAAGUAUCCCAAAACAUGUCAAAAAAUUUUUAGCGCUCCAAGAUGUUUCCAAAUUUGUGAAUACUCGAAUUGUACACGAACUUAAUGAAUUAAGAGAAUCGUGUCAAACCCAUCAACCACGUACGCCAUUACACGAAAAUACUCUUACACAUCAAAAUACUUUGAAAUUCACAAAGCUCGAAAGGCCGGAUCCCAAAAACAUCGAAAUGUGAUAAAUUGAAAUAUAGGCAUCAAGACGUGUUUAAAUACUUUGAAACGUAUCAAAAUGCAGGACUUUGCCAAACUGUGAAAAAAAUUACCAGAGCAUUUCAAAAUGUCCCAGAAUAUGCAAAUAUAACUUGCAAAAUGAGCGAAAUGCACAAAAAUCCACAAGUAUGGGGCAAAAUUGCACCGACAUGUUAGGAUACUCGCCAAAAUUUGUCAAUCCUACAAAAUGCAGUCAAGCACUCCGAAAAUGCCCCAAAAAUGUUACAAAAUGCGUAACAUUGACAUCGAAUGAUAGCCCAAAGAGUCCACAAAAAUGAAACCAAAUUCCACCAAAAUGUGAUGACACUCGCCAAAAUGUAUCAAGAUUGGUUAAACAUGGCUAAAUCCUUCAAAAUAUAUAAAAUUUAGCAUAAACGCCCCAGCAUGAUCCAAAAUAUGUGAUACUAACAUCGAAGGAUGGCCGAAAUCGUUCCAAAAUACGUCAAACUAAUCUCAGCGCUCCGAGUUAUUUCCAAAUGUGUGAAUAGUCGAAUAUAUCAAAACAUAACGAGUUAUGAAAAUUUUAUCAAAACAAUCAAGCACAUCCCAUAUUACACAAAAAAUACAAAGAACACAGGAAAACAUAUUGAUAAAUGCAAAGCUUUAAAAAUAACUAGAAAGAAAGAAAAUGCAUAAAGGGUUCCAAGCACACCGAAAUGAGCGAAAUUGACAAAAAGGUAUUGAGAUGUACUUAAAGGCUCGGAGAUGGUACCCCAAUUCACGAGUUUUACCAAAAUGCGAUAAAAUUUAUGAAACCAUGUCAAAAUAUCCCAGAAUACGUCAAGUAUACCUAAACACGCAAAACGAGUGAAACGCACCAAAAUCAACAAGUAUGCGACUAAAUUGCACCUAAUGCCACAGAAAUGUUCCAAAAUGUGCAAUAUUGACACCGAACAAUUGCCCAAAGAGUCAAUAAAUAUGAAAUCGAAUUCCACCAAAACGUGAUGAAACUCGCUGAAAUGUAUCAAGAUUGGUUAAACAUGGCUAAAUCCUUUGAAAUAUAUAAAAUUUAAACCCGGUUUGAGCCCCAUUAUCACUCAAUAAAAUUCAUUACAACAAAUUAUUUUUCAACUUUUUCAG
rnacentral:lncRNA from 1 species